CUGCGUGAGGUCUCUGGGUAAUAAGAGCACAGGAAAUGAGUGCUUUUGGCGUUCUCUUGAAAAAUGUAAACUUCUUGUCUGCUGCUGGCUGUUAGGCAAUAGGGAAAGCGGCUGCUGCUGCUUGGGGAGGGGAGAAUGGAGCGAAAGCAACGCCGGGGCCGUUAAAAUGGACAAGCUCUGUCCCACUCAAUGGAUUCUUAUGUUUUACAAGUGACGCCAGGUGAACUAGUGAAGGGCUGCCACAGGAAGGCACAGCAAAAGGGAAGAUACCCACUGGAGGAUAUUCAUGGGUACACCCGAAUGAUUCCUCAACAACAGGAUAAGAAGAACUCAUCUCCAGAAUCACAGAACCAUUAAGAAAGUAGCUGUUGCUGGAGGGAGAAGAGGACUUUGCUGCCAGAGCAGGACCAUGAGCCCUGGUGUUUUGCUGCCGAAAUGAGCCUGCACUUGAAGCCCACUUGUAGAAGCAGCUCACCUGCAGAAGCAGCCCUGCAGCAGGCAGCCCAAACCCAGCCCUGCAGCAUGCUGCCUCGGGGCAGAGAGCACGUGGACCUGCAUGCAGAGAUUUGGGCUGGGUGCUUGCAGAAUGACGUGCACGUGGCUGGGUGUGUGCACCAGCCCUCCCGUGGUUUUCUCUUCCUUGGACACAGACACACCGGGCAAGAACUCCUAAAGCUAACAGGAUGCUUGCUUUUACAUGGCAGCAUGCCAGAGUGACCAGGAAAAACUACUGACUGCUGCGUUAGUCACCGCUGAACUCAAAUAUAAAGAUAUGAGUGCCUUGCACGGAAGGUCGUGUUGUUCCCAUACCGCCAUCAUUCACCUUGGCAUUUCCUACAAUAAAGUGCAAAGCACUGGGGCUUUGCCGCAGGAUCAAACCCUGACAGCUAACGCAUUUUUUUCCCCUUUUUCCUCCCUAACGUGCUAAAUUUUUUCCUCUUGCCCCCUUUUGGCAGACAGAAGUGCUCCUGGGGAGCGUGCUCUAUAGGGGAUGGCUGGAGCACAACAAGCAUCGUCUGCCCCAGAGAUGUCUCGGCCCCAGCGCGGCAAUCCCAGCAGAUAUUUAGCUGGAGAGGUCACCUGGAGCCCAGCCAUGCUCCUGCGGUUUCUUCGUGCUAUUUUUGUUGUGCACAGAGCAGAGGAGAGGCAAUAUUUGUACGACCGGCAGCUCAAAGGUUAUUGGUUUUGCUCAACAUUUGUUUUUCAAAUGUAAUACUGCUGUCCCCGCAUUACUGCCAGAGGAGUUUCAAAACCUGGCUCGGAGCCUGUGGAUUUCCGUUCUGUGCUAACAGCCCGCUCCAAGGAAAAGUGCACAGGAUGAGUUUCCUGGAAAAGCAUGGGAAAAUUUCACACCAAGCCUGCUGGGAACAGGAGGUGAGCACGGAGAUACGUUGCCUGCAAAGGGACAGCACCCAGUGCAUCAUUCCGAGCCCCAUCUCGGUGUCACAGCUGAUAGAACCUCAGGUGGAACGGUCCCAAAUUCCCCCUUUCCUUGGAGGUGCUGCCUGUGCCCAUUGACAAGGGAUGGGGAUUGCACACGGCUCCCACACGCAGCUGUCGCAGCACGAGCCGACUAUAAAAGCACCAUAUGCUGCUCCGCGCCGCGAGAGCUGCAGAUCACCGCAAGAAGCCCUUUAAAUAUUCUGGAAUUUAAUUACGAGACUGUCGAUGCUUUAAACACAGGAACGCAUAAUGUCUAACGCAAAGGAAGCUCAUCUGGAAGGUGCUGGGAGGGAAAAGCCCUGGAGGGUGCCGCGUGCUGGUAUCGUGGGAUGCACACAGUGGUGUCACCCGUGGGUAGGAGAUGUGCCCUGGUGCUGGGAUGCUGAGCCACCCGAGUUACCUUAGGCACACGAGCACCUGUGAGGUUGCUUAGGUUUGACCCUUGUAAAAAUAUCUUCUUUCCUAAAACACACUGGUGUGCACUUGCACAGCUCAACCCCUUCUCCGUGUCACCUGCCCUGUGGUGGUAGGAAAAUGGUUAUUAUCUUCCUCUGUGUGACAUGCCGUAGGUGUUGUGUCUACAAAAAUGAAGCUGUGUUUAACAUAGCAGUGUGAUUAUCGGCCUAAUGGCAGGAAGAGAAGACGCCUUUGGGAUGAGAACCAAAGCAUGGCUCUUGCAGAAUGUCCCCAGAGAAGUGUCCCUGUGCCCAGGACACCCACCCAGCAGGUCUGCUGGACCUGGGGCACCAGCAGCAGAGUGCAUAGCAAACCCAUUUGUCAUAGAUUGUUCCUAUCUUCCCACUUCAGUUAACAUAAAGAACUCAAAUGAAAGAAGACAGAAUGUGUAUUUUCCAAGCAAGUAAAGAAGAAAGUGCUUGGUAAAGACUUUGGUCAGGCUGAAUAUUAGGAAAAAUUUCUUUUCCAAAGAGUGGUCGGGCACUGGCACAGCUGCCCAGGGAGUGAGGUGUAACCAU